GGAGGAAUAUUGGGCAAUGCCCGAAAGGGUGACCCAGCAACGCCGCGUGGAGGAUGAAGGCCGUAAGGUUGUAAACUCCUGUUAGAGGGGAAGAAAACUCCGAUAGAAUCGGAGACUGACUGUACCCUCAGAGGAAGCCCCGGCUAACUACGUGCCAGCAGCCGCGGUAAUACGUAGGGGGCAAGCGUUGUCCGGAUUCACUGGGUGUAAAGGGCGCGUAGGCGGGCUAGCAAGUCAGAGGUGAAAUCCU
rnacentral:rRNA from 1 species